rnacentral:rRNA from 1 species
ACCGUGUAUGACUUAGUACGGCGAGUGAAGCGGCAAAAGCUCAAAUUUGAAAUCGGCCCCCAGGUCGAGUUGAUUUUGUAGAUUGUAUCUUGAGAGCGGAUUAAAGUCUGUUGGAACACAGCGCCUUAGAGGGUGACAGCCCCGUAAAAUCUAUUCUCAUUGUAAGAUACUUUCGAAGAGUCGAGUUGUUUGGGAAUAUCC